rnacentral:lncRNA from 1 species
AGCCUCAGGGCAUGCAUCCUAUUGUGUCCCGAAUGCAUGGGAGACAUCCCAUAACUAGAAGAACAAGAGACCGCGCAACAUGUUUGAGUGACUUGCACGUUGUAGGUUUGGAAGACACAGGGAACCACACUUACACAUCACAUUUAUUCAUGUCUCGUUUGGUAGAUGGCAACUGUGGUGAACUUCCCAAUACCGCGAUAUAAUCAUGUACCACAUCACUAAUAUGCAACGGCACAAAGGCAGGUUAGCCAGCUUCAGCGUAUGAUUUGUCCUACCUUAUUGUAUUUGGUCACACCAGGCUCGACACUAGAAAAUGUGAAACUUUUAGGGUAGCGAUGGUCAUUGCUCAUUUGGAUUACUCAUAUUAAUUCCGAUGAGGAUCUCUGCAUCCAACAACGUUGGUGGUUUUGAAAAUGAUGAUAUGUGUACAGGGCUUGCAGUGUGUGUUUUAAUUCACUGCCAUUGAUUUCAUACAUUGGCGCGGUGGAUAUUCUGCUGUUUUGAAACUGAAAUUUUGGAGAACGUUCUGUACAUAUAUUUGAUCAAGUUUUGAAAUUGAUGUGAAGGUAGUUUG